GAGUGAGCGAGCAAGGCAGACACACACAGAUGCGCAGUGAGAGAGAGAGAGACGGAGGGAGAGAACGAUUGGAGGGGAGGGGAAGCAGACAAGAUUUUGAGUUCAAGUGCACGUGAAGAAAAUGAAUAGACGCGGGCGAAAGGAAACCAGAAAAAGGGGACAAAAGCCCACCGUGCUCCUUUCUCCCUAUUCUCCGUUUCCUUCACAAAAAGACGGAAUGAAGAAGUGCAAACUACGGUAAAGGAGGUAAAAAAUUAUGUAUCCCCCCUUCUUCUUCCUCCUCCUCCCUCCAUUGACACACUCCUCCUCUAUCCCUCCCUGCUGGAUAUUUCUCUCUCUUUCUCUUCUUCUCCCUAGCUCUUGUUUCUCUCCCCUCCCACCUCCCAACACACACACACACACACACACACACACACACACACACUGAGGACUCCUUCUCACUCCUUCCCCUUCACGCUGUUCCUACUAUCCACUUUCCCUGAAGACCGAGCACGUCAGGCUGGGCUCUUUUUCCUUCUUUUUACCACCGUCGCCACCUCACAUACGGAGAUAGGCUAAUGCAUGGCACUCCUUAAAUAUAUGCAGGAUUGACUCCUUGUUAGGUCACAUGCCUUUUUUUUUAGUCAGGAGAAAAUGGAGAGCGUGGUCUUGCAGAGAGAGGUAGGAGAAAAGAGUACCGGCACUGGUGAGGAAAAAUGGGAGGGAGGAGAGAAAGCGAGGAGGGUGUGUGUGUGUGGUAGAGGGGGGAGGCGACCAGUAGGGGACGACUAGGUAGGAAUCUGCAAAAUCGCGGGAAAAGGGAAAAAAAAAGCACCAUCAUCAAGAAAUUCUUCUGUGGUGACCACCUCAUGCAUUCGUGAGUAGAACCACUAUCCACACUCCUCUUUUUGUCUAAAAAACAAAAAAAAUCCCCCCUCUGUCAUCCAUCUCGUGCAUCUAUCUCGUCUUCUUCCUCCUCGAAUUUGGAUUAGCUCCGCUCACAUUUACACGAAGGCUUUGAACAGGCGAAGCGGGGGAGAUCACCAGCGAGAGCGCCCACUUUUUUGGGGAUGGGUGAGGGGAGGGGGGGAGGUGGAGGCCGGGGUGCGUGUCCGCAUUUACGUGCAUCCAUUUAUCUGCGUUCAUCGUCUGGAGGUCGGCGCACACGCGUGACGGUUCGACUUUUCAAAAUAACAGAAUUAAAAUCACUGGAUUGACAGGAGGAAGGAUGCGGCCUCAUUCAGUCUUUUUUUUUUUUUAUAUCUCCUCCCUUGCUGCUCUUCUUCUUCAUCAGUUUUAUCGCCUAUCUGUCCUCACUAACGACUGAACUCAAUAAGAUUGGGCCUUCAACACAACCCCUCUGAGGACAAGCUUGUCGUCAGGAAUGCAGCGGUCAACCAGAAGAGAAGAUCCCCCAGUGAGACGAGCCAUGGGAAAAUCCUCAAAGCUAGAAUCUGCUUGUGAGAGACGCCAUCCAAUCCAGGCGCUGCAGUAAGCAAUGACGCAGACUGUGGCACACCAGGAAUGAGCAACGGCAUCCUUUUCUAGGAGCACGGGGACUCAUAUGUCGCCUUUUUGCGAUCGUAAGUGAGGACAAGGUGUGUUCAGCGUG